rnacentral:rRNA from 1 species
GUGAGGAAUAUUGCGCAAUGGAGGCAACUCUGACGCAGCCAUGCCGCGUGCAGGAAGAAGGCGCUACGCGUUGUAAACUGCUUUUAACCGGGAAGAAACCCCAGGACGUGUCCUGGGUUGACGGUACCGGAGGAAUAAGCACCGGCUAACUUCGUGCCAGCAGCCGCGGUAAUACGAAGGGUGCAAGCGUUAUCCGGAUUCAUUGGGUUUAAAGGGUGCGUAGGCGGAGCGUUAAGUCAGUGGUGAAAUCCUGCAGCUUAACUGUAGACUUGCCAGUGAUACUGGCGCUCUUGAGUGAGCUUGAAGUGGGCGGAAUGUGCCGUGUAGCGGUGAAAUGCUUAGAUAUGGCACAGAACACCAAUUGCGAAGGCAGCUCACUAAGGCGAUACUGACGCUGAGGCACGAAAGCGUGGGGAUCGAACAGGAUUAGAUACCCUGGUAGUCC